AAGAAUGUGACCUCGUGGGGAAGACCAAGGGCUGCUUCCUUGUUGGAGCACGUAAGAAGAAGGACAUCAAGCCCGAGGCUUUGGGGGCUGGAUUACUAUUGGGCGACCUGGUAAGCUUACAUGCUGUCUGACAGGCGGUCUGCUGUGUGUCUGUAUGUGUUCGUACCCUAACAAAGAACUUCCGUCUGCGUGCUUGUAACUGCCGCCUGGCCUCUUACCCCCUAUGAACAUACAGGAUGGCGAGACCGCUGACGGCUGCACUGAUCUCCUGGUGAUUGGCCGCGCCAUGGCAGUCAUCAAGGACCUUGGCACUGUGCACAUUCCCCCGACUGGCCAGUCCUUUGCACUAAACGACCGGCCACUCCGCCUCUUCCAGAAGGUAAAUCAAGGUUGAGCUGAGAUACCGUGUCUGCAUCACAUGUGUUGACUUUGUUCUGGUUGCUUCUGUCUGCAGGUGCGAUGGCCCAUUGUGGGAUUGCUCGCAGUCAAGGGCAAGAUGACCGCAGUCCAGUGGGCCAUGAGGACCACUGGGCUGAGCAAGAAGCAGUUGGAUGCAGUGGACUUGGAGUGAUACACGCCCUGUUAGGAACCACCUUAGGUGUGGGAAGUGUAGGCGGUGUGUGGGGCUGUACUUGGCUAUUGGGCUGUCCUGUCCAUGCGCCUAGUUGCGCCUAGUUGCGAGUAGUUAGCAUAGGCCUUGUGAUCGCGUUCAGGGAUCCAUCAUAACACUCAUUCAUUUGGUAUGCUGCAGUACCAUAUGCAGUUCCAGCAUGGAUCGAGCGUGUGAUUGUAGAUAUGUUGUAGGUAUAAGUGCUGGCAUGGUGGACCUGACCUCAUAUGUGUGUCUGCCCGAAUGGGAAAGUGGUCUGCUGUGAGAAUCGGGCUCUAGUGAGAUGGUGGCCCUAGGUUUUUGUUGGGCAUACCUCUGUUUGAAGGCGCCCUUAAGAACGGUUUAAGAAUGCUGGGGGACGGAAUGCUUGAGAACACUGUAACAACGCUUGAGAACGCUGCAAGAAUACUUGAGAAUGCUGUGAGAACGCUUGAGAACGCUGUAAGAGCGCUUGAGAAUGCUGUAAGAACGCUUAAGAAUGGUGAGAGAACGGUGUAAGAACGCUUGAGAACGCUGUAAGAACGCUUAAGAAUGGUGAGAGAACGGUGUAAGAACGCUUGAGAACGCUUUAAGAACGCUUAAGAAUGGUGAGAGAACGGUGUAAGAACGCUUGAGAACGCUUUAAGAACGCUUAAGAAUGGUGAGAGAAUGCUGUAAGAACGCUUGAGAACGCUUUAAGAACGCUUAAGAAUGGUGAGAGAAUGCUGUAAGAACGCUUGAGAACGCUUUAAGAACGCUUAAGAAUGGUGAGAGAACGGUGUAAGAACGCUUGAGAACACUGUAAGAACGCUUAAGAAUGGUGAGAGAACGCUGUAAGAACGCUUGAGAACGCUUUAAGAACGCUUAAGAAUGGUGAGAGAACGGUGUAAGAACGCUUGAGAACGCUUUAAGAACGCUUAAGAAUGGUGAGAGAACGGUGUAAGAAUGCUUGAGAGUGGUGAAAGAUUGCUUAAGAAUGCGUGAGAAAAUGGUUUGAGAAUGUCCUUGAGAACGGGUAAGAUCGCUGAGAACGCUUGAGAUUCCCUGCAAAGAGCGCUCUCUUGAGAUCGCUUAAGAACGCUUGAGAAGGCACAAUCUUAAAACAUGGCAGAUAAGAGCGUUCUCAGAACGCUCUUAACAGCGGCAUCUACUUGUGCUUUAUAUGGCUUAAGAUCGCGUUGAGAGCGCUCUUAAAGCGGUUUCAUUUUGGUAGGGGUAUUUGAUUAAAUGGGAAGGUUACGACUCUAGUCAUAAUACCUAUGAACCAGAGGAAUCCCUUCGCCAGUCUACUCCCUUGGCGGAAUCCAUCGACGAAUAUGAACGCAAACUUGCGUCUAAGAAGCACCCUCAAGCCCCGGAAAAACCUAAGGGACGGAAAACUUCUAAGAAGAAGUAACGCUCCCGGGACGGUUCACUUCAGAGGGGGAAGACUGUAGCAGGCUACAUUUCCCUUAGAAUAUUUCAACAAUUACUUUUAACAAUAACUGUUAAUUCGUUAACGAUUCGUCUCAAGUUUCGUACAUGUUACGAGCUUCGUCACAUGUACCGAACAUGGCGGUUGUUCGUAAGUGAACCUAACGGGCUGGGGCCCCGGGCCCCACCAACAUUAUCCUAGUACGGCAAGUCCGUGGUAGGGAAUCUCCGGCAGGUAGGCCGAGAUAUAAGCUNNNNNNNNNNNNNNNNNNNNNNNNNNNNNNNNNNNNNNNNNNNNNNNNNNUUCGUACCCUAAAAAGAACUUCCGUCUGCGUGCUUGUAACUGCCGCCUGGCCUCUUACCCCCUAUGAACAUACAGGAUGGCGAGACCGCUGACGGCUGCACUGAUCUCCUGGUGAUUGGCCGCGCCAUGGCAGUCAUCAAGGACCUUGGCACUGUGCACAUUCCCCCGACUGGCCAGUCCUUUGCACUAAACGACCGGCCACUCCGCCUCUUCCAGAAGGUAAAUCAAGGUUGAGCU
rnacentral:lncRNA from 1 species